UACAGAGGUCCCAAGCGUUGCUCGGAUUCAUUGGGCGUAAAGGGUGCGUAGGCGGCGCGGUAAGUCGGGUGUGAAAUCUCGGGGCUUAACUCCGAAACUGCAUUCGAUACUGCCGUGCUUGAGGACUGGAGAGGAGACUGGAAUUUACGGUGUAGCGGUGAAAUGCGUAGAUAUCGUAAGGAAGACCAGUGGCGAAGGCGGGUCUCUGGACAGUUCCUGACACUGAGGCACGAAGGCCAGGGGAGCAAACGGG
rnacentral:rRNA from 1 species